UACAGAGGUGGCAAGCGUUGUCCGGAAUCACUGGGCGUAAAGGGCGCGUAGGUGGUGGGGUAAGCGUGUGGUGAAAGCCCGGGGCUCAACCCCGGGUCGGCCAUGCGAACUGCCCGACUGGAGCAUGGUAGAGGCCAAUGGAAUUCCGGGUGUAGCGGUGGAAUGCGUAGAGAUCCGGAAGAACACCGGUGACGAAGGCGGUUGGCUGGGCCAUAGCUGACACUGAGGCGCGACAGCGUGGGGAGCAAACGGG
rnacentral:rRNA from 1 species